rnacentral:rRNA from 1 species
GAUGAACGCUAGCGGCAGGCUUAACACAUGCAAGUCGAGGGGCAGCGUGGAGCAGCAAUGCUCUGACGGCGACCGGCGGAAGGGUGCGUAACACGUGAGCGACUUGCCCGUCACAGGGGGAUAACCGGCGGAAACGGCGACUAAUACCCCAUAUGAUGCGAUGCUGCAUGGCAUUGCAUUGAAAGAUUCAUCGGUGGCGGAUAGGCUCGCGGGACAUUAGCUAGACGGCGGGGCAACGGCCCACCGUGGCGACGAUGUCUAGGGGUUCUGAGAGGAAGGCCCCCCACACUGGGACUGAGACACGGCCCAGACUCCUACGGGAGGCAGCAGUGAGGAAUAUUGGUCAAUGGGCGGAAGCCUGAACCAGCCAUGCCGCGUGAAGGACUAAGGCCCUACGGGUCGUAAACUGCUUUUAUAAGGGAAUAAAGUGGGAGUCGUGACUCUUUUUGCAUGUACCUUAUGAAUAAGGACCGGCUAAUUCCGUGCCAG